rnacentral:rRNA from 1 species
CAGCACCUCAAGUGGUCAGGAUGAUUAUUGGGCCUAAAGCAUCCGUAGCCGGCGCUGUAAGUUUUCGGUUAAAUCUGUACGCUCAACGUACAGGCUGCCGGGAAUACUGCAGAGCUAGGGAGUGGGAGAGGUAGACGGUACUCGGUAGGAAGGGGUAAAAUCCUUUGAUCUAUUGAUGACCACCUGUGGCGAAGGCGGUCUACCAGAACACGUCCCACGGUGAGGGAUGAAAGCUGGGGGAGCAAACCGGAUUAGAUACCCGAGUAGUCC